CCCUCCUCCCUGUGCCGCGAGAGCUGCGCGGGCUCUGCCCCUCUAUGUGCGGUGUGCGGUCGGUGUGACCCCGCCGCCCCGCCUCCGGGGCGCCACUUCUUUCUCCCGGGAUCCGGCCGAGGAAGGAGCCGGGUUAGGAGACCACGGACAGGUUGGCGCUCGCAGGAUUCUCUGCCCGGGGGAUCUGUUUAGGAGCAGAUGGCCCCGACACUACCAAGAACCCAGAUCCAGGCAAGUUCGGGAUUUCCUUUCAUCUGAGAAAUCGCCAUGCGUUUCUGAGUUUUGGCUUUAUGCUUCUUUCCCCAAGUUUCUCUGUCCUGUGUGCAGACCAAGGCAGGUGAGCCAAAUCUGGAUGGAUCCCAACUCUUCAGGGAAGGGACCCCUCUUCCCUGUCAUCCCUUCCUGUCCUUCUCCCCACCCAUUAUGUAGUCAUUCACCAAAUGGAUCAUUGCUCUCCAUGUUUUCUAGAGUGCUAGCAUCUGAAAAAAAACUUUGUACAAAAGGCAUACUUUUUGCCUCAAGCUCCUUUCACAGAAGUUGAAAAACAGUGGCAUGUAAAGUCAGUCACCAGCGAGUGGGACACAUGACAGAUGGUAGAAAUCUCUUGAGCAUCAGGGAUCUGGACGCUUCUGGGUUGUGCGAUGGUGGUCAUUUGAGCUCUGCCUGAAGAAUAAAUGAACUUUGCAUAAUUGGAGAGGAGAGGGCAUGGCUGCAUGCACAAAGCUGACCAAGGCUGAACUAUGAACAGUCUAGCUCAGAGAAAGUUGGAACCAUUCAAGGUCUAGAAUGCUGGGCCGGGGUUUGCCUUUGUCCUGGAGAAAGCUGGGAUUGAAGGAUUUUAAGGCAUUGAUGGGAAGUAAUCCACAUUUUGAAAGGAAGUAAUACUUAAUAUUUGAUUAUUUUAGAUAUGGUUUAUUUAUUUUUUCAUAUACAAACAGUAACAAAGAAAACUUUAAAAAAUUAAAACUCACCCACUUUCCUAUCACUCUGAUCAAGCACAUUAUUUUGUUUGAAAUGUCUUUGCAGAUGUAUUUUUUUAGGCUUAUUUUUUCCUUUUAAUAGGUCACAGCCAUAGUAUCCAAUUUGUACUAGAGUCUUGUUGCUAAUUGUUACAGCUGCUUUUUAUACUCUUUCCUCCAGUAGCCCUGGGACUUGAGCAAGUUCUCUCCACCCUCUGAGCUUUAGUAUCUGUAGCCACAAAAUAGCCGCAAGAAUGCCUUAUCCAGUUGGGAAAAUUCAGAGAGAUGCUGUGUGUCUUAGGGCUUAGCACUGUGCCUGCUACACAUUCAGUUGCUAACACUCUAAAAGGCAAUUCUGUUUUUAAAGAUCCUAUCCCAGAGUCAGACCAGGGUCAGCUUAAGGCCUAGCAUGAAGCCAGCAUCACUCUGCGUGCCCUUUCAGUGUCCCUUCAUUUGUGGGUUGUACAUAUUUGCAGCAUGUCCUUGGGUGCCAGAUGGCAGUGACCCAAGCAAUCCCCUCCCUCCUGGGGCCCACAUUUGAGGAAGAGGAUGCUGACAGUCCAUAGCAACCCCUCCUGCCAGGCAGCGAGGAGUCCUGGGAAGAAAAAUCAAGCUGGGUCAUACACUGGAGAGGGGGAGGAGAAAAGAGAAGACCUUUCUGUGAGGUAACAUUUAAGGAAAGGCCUGCUGGGCAUGCUGGUGGAAUUCCAGGGGGCCAGGUGACUGAGGCAGUUGCUGUCCCCCUCCCCACUCGACCCUGGGUUUUCCGGCUUCUAGAUUUUUCGUUGUUCUUUCCUAUGAGGCAAGUGGGCUCUCUGAGUCUGAAAUCUGCUCCCCCUCCUUUGUUAGCUGUGUCCUCCUUCCCUCCCG
ensembl:lincRNA